CCCUAGUAACGGCGAGUGAAGCGGCAACAGCUCAAAUUUGAAAUCUGGCCCUCGUGGUCCGAGUUGUAAUUUGUAGAGGAUGCUUUUGGCGCGGCGCCUUCCGAGUUCCCUGGAACGGGACGCCAGAGAGGGUGAGAGCCCCGUACGGUUGGACGCCUAGCCUAUAUAUAGCUCCUUCGACGAGUCGAGUAGUUUGGGAAUGCUGCUCUAAAUGGGAGGUAAAUUUCUUCUAAAGCUAAAUACCGGCCAGAGACCGAUAGCGCACAAGUAGAGUGAUCGAAAGAUGAAAAGCACUUUGAAAAGAGGGUUAAAUAGCACGUGAAAUUGUUGAAAGGGAAGCGUUUGCGACCAGACUUUUUCCAGGCGGAUCAUCCGGUGUUCUCACCGGUGCACUUCGCCUGGUUUAGGCCAGCAUCGGUUCUCCUAGGGGGAUAAAGGCAGGGGGAAAGUAGCUCCUUCGGGAGUGUUAUAGCCCCCUGCGUAAUACCCCUCGGGGGACCGAGGACCGCGCUUCGGCAAGGAUGCUGGCGUAAUGGUCGUCAACGACCCGUCUUGAAACACGGACCAAGGAGUCGAACAUUUGUGCGAGUGUUUGGGUGUUAAACCCUCACGCGUAAUGAAAGUGAACGGAGGUGAGAGCCCUUACGGGUGCAUCAUCGACCGAUCCUGAUGUCUUCGGAUGGAUUUGAGUAAGAGCAUAACUGUUCGGACCCGAAAGAUGGUGAACUAUGCGUGGAUAGGGUGAAGCCAGAGGAAACUCUGGUGGAGGCUCGCAGCGGUUCUGACGUGCAAAUCGAUCGUCAAAUCUGCGCAUGGGGGCGAAAGACUUAUCGAACCAUUAAACCAGCGGUAAAUUUUAGUUUACUAGGUGGUUAAGAGGUCCCCCGGGAGGGGGGCCUAGGUCGUCGGGCCAGCCUACCCUGGAGCUACCCUGCAGAGGGGGCGCCAGGGGCGGCUGGCCCAGCCGACACCGCUAAAUUGCGGGGACGUCCUACAGAAGGCCACGGGCUACCGCCGGGCGCUGAAAAGCGAGCCGGCACCAAGAAUAGCGCUCUUGGGCAUGGUAAUAACGCCUGUGGUAGCGGACGACCUGCAGCCAACCCCGCAGCUUUAGGGGAGAGUUCACUGACUAAACAGCGGUGGGUUGGCGCUUCUCGCGCCAGCCUAAGACAUAGUCGAUCCGGCGCCCGAAAGGGCGCCUACCCUACAGGUGACUA
rnacentral:rRNA from 1 species